AUACGUAGGGUGCGUGCGUUGUCCGGAAUGAUUGGGCGUAAAGGGCGCGUAGGCGGCCCGGUAAGUCUGGAGUGAAAGUCCUGUUUUUAAGAUGGGAAUUGCUUUGGAUACUGUCGGGCUUGAGUGCAGGAGAGGUAAGUGGAAUUCCCAGUGUAGCGGUGCAAUGGGUAGAGAUUGGGAGGAACACCAGUGGCGAAGGAGACUUACUGGACUGUAACAGACGCUGAGGCGCGAAAGUGUGGGGAGCAAACAGGAUUAGAUGCCCUGGUAGACCACACUGUAAACGAUGAAUGCUAGGUGUAGGGGGUAUCGACCCCUUCUGUGCCUCAGUCAACACAAUAAGUAUUCCGCCUGGGGAGUACGUCCGCAAGGUGGAAACUCAAAGUAAUUGACGGGG
rnacentral:rRNA from 1 species